UACGGAGGAUGCGAGCGUUAUCCGGAUUUAUUGGGUUUAAAGGGUGCGUAGGCGGAAGAUUAAGUCAGCGGUGAAAGUUUGAGGCUCAACCUUAAAAUUGCCGUUGAAACUGGUUUUCUUGAGUGUAGAUGAAGUAGGCGGAAUUCGUAGUGUAGCGGUGAAAUGCAUAGAUAUUACGAAGAACUCCGAUUGCGCAGGCAGCUUACUAAGGUACAACUGACGCUGAGGCACGAAAGCGUGGGUAUCAAACAGG
rnacentral:rRNA from 1 species